rnacentral:rRNA from 1 species
UACGUAGGGUGCGAGCGUUAAUCGGAAUUACUGGGCGUAAAGCGUGCGCAGGCGGUUUUGUAAGCCAGAUGUGAAAUCCCCGGGCUUAACCUGGGAAUGGCAUUUGGGACUGCAAGGCUGGAGUUUGGCAGAGGAGACUGGAAUCCUGGUGUAGCAGUGAAAUGCGUAGAUAUCAGGAGGAACACCGAUGGCGAAGGCAGCUCUCUGGGUCCCUA